rnacentral:tRNA from 1 species
CGCGUCGUAGGCGACGGGCGCCUCGACGUGCUCGGGCCCCGACUGGGCCGGCUCGGUCGCGCCCGGCACGACC